rnacentral:lncRNA from 1 species
UGAUGGCGAUGGGAUCAAGAGUUGAUCAAGGAUCGAGUCAAGGAGGCUUGGAACCAAUUCAAGAGUUGAAGAUCAGUUAAUCGAUUGACGUGCAUGUGCUUAUAAUACGACCUAAUUAGAAUCCAUGAUCAUCACCUAUUUAAAGUUUAGCUUUAUUUGAUGCUGCGAUUAUAACUGCCUGUGAUGUGCCGUUUGCAUGUGAUGUGAAUGAGAGUCGGGUAGAUAGGUUUACAUGUGAUGUAGCAAACCCAAUGAGACCUAAAUUAAAACCUCCUCAAUCAAGUCGAGAGUGAACCAACAUGAGCAAGUCAUAUUAAAUUAAUUGAUCUAAUUGGUGUUUAGGAAAGCAUGAAAGGUGGUUACUUAAUUAGGACCUUACUCUCUGAGUAAGGGGAGCCUCCC